rnacentral:rRNA from 1 species
UGUCUGGGAAACUGCCUGAUGGAGGGGGAUAACUACUGGAAACGGUGGCUAAUACCGCAUAACGUCGCAAGACCAAAGAGGGGGACCUUCGGGCCUCUUGCCAUCAGAUGUGCCCAGAUGGGAUUAGCUUGUUGGUGAGGUAACGGCUCACCAAGGCGACGAUCCCUAGCUGGUCUGAGAGGAUGACCAGCCACACUGGAACUGAGACACGGNCCAGACUCCUACGGGAGGCAGCAGUGGGGAAUAUUGCACAAUGGGCGCAAGCCUGAUGCAGCCAUGCCGCGUGUAUGAAGAAGGCCUUCGGGUUGUAAAGUACUUUCAGCGGGGAGGAAGGUGUUGUGGUUAAUAACCGCAGCAAUUGACGUUACCCGCAGAAGAAGCACCGGCUAACUCCGUGCCAGCAGCCGCGGUAAUACGGAGGGUGCAAGCGUUAAUCGGAAUUACUGGGCGUAAAGCGCACGCAGGCGGUCUGUCAAGUCGGAUGUGAAAUCCCCGGGCUCAACCUGGGAACUGCAUUCGAAACUGGCAGGCUUGAGUCUUGUAGAGGGGGGUAGAAUUCCAGGUGUAGCGGUGAAAUGCGUAGAGAUCUGGAGGAAUACCGGUGGCGAAGGCGGCCCCCUGGACAAAGACUGACGCUCAGGUGCGAAAGCGUGGGGAGCAAACAGGAUUAGAUACCCUGGUAGUCCACGCCGUAAACGAUGUCUACUUGGAGGUUGUGCCCUUGAGGCGUGGCUUCCGGAGCUAACGCGUUAAGUAGACCGCCUGGGGAGUACGGCCGCAAGGUUAAAACUCAAAUGAAUUGACGGGGGCCCGCACAAGCGGUGGAGCAUGUGGUUUAAUUCGAUGCAACGCGAAGAACCUUACCUGGUCUUGACAUCCACAGAAGAAUCCAGAGAUGGAUUUGUGCCUUCGGGAACUGUGAGACAGGUGCUGCAUGGCUGUCGUCAGCUCGUGUUGUGAAAUGUUGGGUUAAGUCCCGCAACGAGCGCAACCCUUAUCCUUUGUUGCCAGCGGUUAGGCCGGGAACUCAAAGGAGACUGCCAGUGAUAAACUGGAGGAAGGUGGGGAUGACGUCAAGUCAUCAUGGCCCUUACGACCAGGGCUACACACGUGCUACAAUGGCGCAUACAAAGAGAAGCGACCUCGCGAGAGCAAGCGGACCUCAUAAAGUGCGUCGUAGUCCGGAUUGGAGUCUGCAACUCGACUCCAUGAAGUCGGAAUCGCUAGUAAUCGUGGAUCAGAAUGCCACGGUGAAUACGUUCCCGGGCCUUGUACACACCGCCCGUCACACCAUGGGAGUGGGUUGCAAAAGAAGUAGGUAGCUUAACCUUCGGGAGGGCGCUUACCACUUUGUGAUUCAUGACUGGGGUGAAGUCGUAACAAGGUAACCGUAGGGGAACCUGCGGUUGGAUCACCUCCUUACCUUAAAGAA